GGAGGAAGUAGUGACGGGAUUGGUUGAUAUACACAUGAGCGUGAGCAGUGGACGGGUGCGAUCAUAUCAGGACUAAUGCACCGGAUCCCAUCAGAACUCCGAAGUUAAACGUGCUUGGGCGAGAGUAGUACUAAGAUGGGUGACCUCUUGGGAAGUCCUCGUGUUGCACCCCCUCCUUUUGCAAUUUUUCUCCGGCGACGUUAUGGACAUGCUUAGCGAGGUUACAUCGUUUAUAUUACAUGCAUAAUGACGGAGGCGAACCGAGAGGGCGGGUAUUUUCGAGCAAAAUGUAAUCAAAAAAAGCGAAAGUCGUGAAAAUGAAGGGAGGAAGUAUUGACGAGAGUGGUUAAAAUACACGUGAUCGUGAUAAGUGGACGGGAGUGAUCAUAUCACCACUAAUACACCGGAUCCCAUCAGAACUCCGAAGUUAAACGUGCUUAGGCGAGAGUAGUACCAAGAUGGGUGACCUCUUGGGAAGUCCUCGUAAUACACCCCCUCUUUUUGCAAUUUUUCCCCUGGCAACGUUAUCGACACGCUUACCGAGAUUACAUAGUUUAUAUUACAUGCAUAAUGACAGAGGCAAAACUGAGAGGGCUGGUAUUUUCGAGCAAAAUGUAAUUAUAGAAAGCGAAAGCCGUGAAAAUGAAGGGAGGAAGUAGUGACGGGAGUGGUUCAAAUACACAUGAUCGUGAUAAGUGUACGGGUCCGAUCAUAUCACCACUAAUACACCGGAUCCCAUCAGAACUCCGAAGUUAAACAUGCUUGGGCGAGAGUAGUACUAAGAUGGGUGACCUCUUGGGAAGUCCUCGUGUUGAACCCUCCUCUCUACACAAAAUGUUUUGCCCCCUGCUUUUUCCCCUGGCAACGUUAUCGACAAGCUUACCGUGAUUAUAUAGUUUAUAUUACAUGCAUAAUGAAGGAGGCGAACCGAGAGGGCGGGUAUUUUCGAGCAAAAUGUAAUUAAAGAAAGCCAAAGCCGUGAAAAUGAAGGGAGGAAGUAGUGACGAGAGUGGUUCAAAUACACGUGAUCGUGAGAAGUGGACGGGUGCGAUCAUACCAGCACUAAUGCACCGGAUCCCAUCAGAACUCCGAAGUUAAACGUGCUUGGGCGAGAGUAGUACUAAGAUGGGUGACCUCUUGGGAACUCCUCGUGUUGCACCCCCUCCUUUUGCAAUUUUCCUCCGGCGACGUUAUCGACACGCUUAGCGAGGUUACAUCGUUU
rnacentral:lncRNA from 1 species